AACUAAUAGAUUGUAUUUUUAGGAAAACGAUCAUGACACUGUCUACAAAAUUAAUAAGUCUCGAGUGAGUGAAAAAUUCGAAUCAGCAGCUAGAAGUGAUAAUGGUUUAAUUUAUUACAAGAACUUAGCUUUUGCUAGUAAAACUAAAUAUGGAAUAGAUAUCACGGAGGGCAAGUCUGAUGAAGAUUAUGAGCAGAUAAAAAAUAAUUCAAUCACAAUGGAGCAAGCAAUGGAAUUAUUUAAUGAAUCGGAAAAUGAAAGUAUAAAAAAAUUAUCUGAUGUUUUGCAAAAAUAUGCAAAUAACGGAUAUAUUACUAUGAAGCUAGCACGAUUUAUAUUUUUGCUACAUGAUUUAGAUGAAGAAAUAAUAGAGAAAACUCUAUAUAAAUUGAGUAGGGAUCCCAAUCAAUUACUUAAAGUGGAAGGGUUCUAUCAAUCAUUAAUCUUAAUAAAGAAACCUCAGUUUUGAAAUAGAAUUUAUAAAAAAUGAUGGUUCCAGUUAAUGAUUAUCGUGUUGAAAAUUAACAUUAUUUCACUUUUAUAAAAACGUUUUGUAUCUUAAAUGUUUUUAUACAAUCCUAAAAGAAAUAUUUACAAUAGUAAUUAACAAAAAUUAUUUUUUUUCAGAUGUCAUAAAUUGCUUAAAAUGAAAUGUAUUACAUUAUUUAUAUGUAAAUAUCUAUAAAUAUACUUCUAUUUGAGUA